UUUCACAACAAACAUUUUCAAUAUAUUCAUUCAAGAAAAGUCAGGCCUUGGGAGUUUUAUUGAAGACUUAGUUGUUAGCUAUCUGUCUAGUUUUGCAUGGGAACGCAAAUCAAGGGCAGAAUAUAGACUCUGAACUGCAGGUUUCCCAGGUGCUUUGCCACAUCGAUCAGCGCUCCUGAAACCCUCUCUGGAUCUGGCAGUGUACACUGGGCUCUGGAAGAACAUUCAGGAGUCAAUGUUGCUGUGGGGUUUGAUACAGAACCACAGAGAAGAGAGAGACAUAAUAAAGUCCCAUUACCUUUUCACUGUAUACUUGUAGUUCUGUUGGGAAACAAAAUAACAUGUUAAUAGAUGUAUUGAUCUUAGAAAAUCAAUUACUACAAUAUUUAUGUCAUAAUUGGUAUGGCAGUUGAUUUAUCAGAGGUAGAUUAGUCCUUACCUGCAGGAAUGAGAUGUCCUCAGCUCCCAGCUCUUCCUUUAUGGUUCUGAUUGUGUCUGAAAGUGAUGAUAUCUCUCUGCUCAUCUUCUCAAUCUUCUUCUUCAUCAUCUGACUCUUCUGCUCCUCUUCCUCCUUCAGUUCAGCUAUCCUGGCUCUCUCUUCAUGAUAUAGAAACUGAUGAAGCUUCUCAAACCUCAUCUUAAUCAGCCUCUCUGUGUGCUGGGCCUGGCUCUGGAGACAGUAGAGAGGAAUGUCAAAAAUAUAAAUAAUUGAUUAUCCAUAAUUCAACAGAGUUAUGAUGAAUCUUCACAGUAUCAUUGUAUUUGAGCUUCACUCUGUAUUCUUACUUUGAUGUGGUUGGCUGUUUUAUGACAGAUCAGUUUAACUUCUCCAAAGACCUUCAAUUUCUCCUGUAAGGGCUUCAGUGAAGUCUUGAGUUCCUCCUAGAAAGAAACAACAUUUUAACGAUAUGCUGUGGGUAAAAGGAUUGGAUUCACACAGAUCUUCAUUCACAUUCCACAAUAUAUGCUUUUGACACACCAAACAGAUGGGCUGUUUAUCCUCCAGACAGAAGAGCUUGAGUUUCUCACUGUGUUGACUGCAGAGCACCUCAGACCCUGCUGAAGCUCUCUGGCUUCUAUCGUUAUUCCUCUAGACAGGCUUUACAGAAGCUGUGGCUACACAACAGGACCACAGGAUCCUUGAAGAUGUCACAGCAUACUGAACAGGAGUAAUCAUCCUCGGAGAGAGAAGCUUUAGAGGCCAUUUCUCGCAGCUUAUUUCUCUGUUAUGGCUUUUUGAAUUGAAGGUUUAGUUUCACUUUUGACAACUCUUUUGAUGAAUGUUUACUCUUGAAAAGUCAACUGAACUCAGAAAUCUGUUUUACCUGCCAUUGUUUCUUAGUCUUGAAUCGUUGUUUUGAUUGUUAACAAAUAUUAUUGGUCAUCCUAUAUGUCAUAUCAGUUUAGCUGAAUGCUGAAUAGCUGAACGUUACAGCGCUGUUCUGUUGUGAGCUUUGCUCCUUCCUGCUAUACAUGUAAGUCAGGGGUGGGGCUCUCUGCUGAGUUGUCAUUUAUAUUAGCUUGAGUCUGUGCAGGACACUUCCACUAGAUGUCAGUGUUUGGUUAAAUAUAACCUGAUUUUUAUGGUCCAAUGUAACCGCUUUUGUCUCAAUUUCAAAUAAUUUCUGUGUAAUUUAAAAAUAUAUAAAAUAGCUUCUUAGCAAAGAGCAA